rnacentral:lncRNA from 1 species
CAAUAAUGGAGCAGAAAAAGAGCAAUAAUGGAGCAGAUACGACAAAAUCAACGGAGACAAGAUACUGUACAAAAACAGAAUUAUUGUACAUUAUGUAACAAAAGUCUUUUGUACAUUUAUUAGGUUGUUGAAAUUAUUGACAACCUUUACGUAAAGAUAAGAAAAAGCUAUAGUUAGGAUUAGGAAAGUUAGGCCAUUAUGGCCACUUUUAUUGACUUUUGUUUUCUUAGUUUUUAGAAUUAG